rnacentral:rRNA from 1 species
GACGAACGCUGGCGGCGUGCCUAAUACAUGCAAGUCGAACGAGAGCGACCGGUGCUUGCACUGGUCAAUCUAGUGGCGAACGGGUGAGUAACACGUGGGUAACCUGCCCAUCAGAGGGGGAUAACAUCCGGAAACGGAUGCUAAAACCGCAUAGGUCUUCGAGCCGCAUGGCUUGAAGAGGAAAAGAGGCGCAAGCUUCUGCUGAUGGAUGGACCCGCGGUGCUUUAGCUAGUUGGUGAGGUAACGGCUCACCAAGGCCGUGAUGCAUAGCCGACCUGAGAGGGUGAUCGGCCACAUUGGGACUGAGACGCGGCCCAAACUCCUACGGGCGGCAGCAGUAGGGAAUCUUCCGCAAUGGACGCAAGUCUGACGGAGCAACGCCGCGUGAGUGAAGAAGGUUUUCGGAUCGUAAAACUCUGUUGUUAGAGAAGAACAAGUGCUAGAGUAACUGUUAGCGCCUUGACGGUAUCUAACCAGAAAGCCACGGCUAACUACGUG